GAUGAACGCUGGCGGCGUGCCUAAUACAUGCAAGUCGAGCGAACGGACGAGAAGCUUGCUUCUCUGAUGUUAGCGGCGGACGGGUGAGUAACACGUGGAUAACCUACCUAUAAGACUGGGAUAACUUCGGGAAACCGGAGCUAAUACCGGAUAAUAUUUUGAACCGCAUGGUUCAAAAGUGAAAGACGGUCUUGCUGUCACUUAUAGAUGGAUCUGCGCUGCAUUAGCUAGUUGGUAAGGUAACGGCUUACCAAGGCAACGAUGCAUAGCCGACCUGAGAGGGUGAUCGGCCACACUGGAACUGAGACACGGUCCAGACUCCUACGGGAGGCAGCAGUAGGGAAUCUUCCGCAAUGGGCGAAAGCCUGACGGAGCAACGCAGCGUGAGUGAUGAAGGUCUUCGGAUCGUAAAACUCUGUUAUUAGGGAAGAACAUAUGUGUAAGUAACUGUGCACAUCUUGACGGUACCUAAUCAGAAAGCCACGGCUAAC
rnacentral:rRNA from 1 species